UCUAGGUUAUAUUUAUAUUUAAUGUAAACAUUCCCCAAUUCCCACAGUUUUUAAACACCGAUCCCAAUUAAAUUUAUCAGAUAAAUAAAUCAUGUGUACUGUUUUCAUUAAAAAUAAACAAACAACUUCAAUAACAAUUUCAGGUACAACAAUAAUUUCAAGUCAAUUAUCUAGUAAAUUAACUGAUGCUAACUUUGCUACCAGUAAUCUAAGAGACAAUGUCAGAUGAUGAACAUACUAAUGUCAAGUUAGUGCUAAAGCGAGAGAUGUCCAGGAGUCCAGAAUAUUCAAUCAAGAUGGAAUUUAAUUAUCAAUAUCUUGUUCCAUGACUGCUGGUACUAGUAAGUAAUUUUUAAAUUAUCUGUACCUUGCUUGUACGUCAUUAACUGAAAUAAGUAGUACCAAACAACAAGAUGUCUAUACUUAUUAACAAUUACUGCAUAAUCGUGAUCCAAAAGAUUAGGAAUUAGUCUUUGCUUGGGCGAAAAAAAAAUUAGACAAGUUAAUCAUGAAAGAGAAAGAUUAUCCAGAUAUGUACUACGUCCUGGGCAGAUUCAUGACUACGUCGAAUGGACUUGCUGAUGAUUUAAUAAUAUGAUACACUUUGAAAUAUCAACGACAGAAAUCAAUAUCACGCCUGAAUGUAUCAUCUAAACACGCUAGUAAAGAGAUGACACAUCAAAAUUGAAUCAUCAAUCGAAUUUUCAAUCAGUACGCAACAAGUAGUUGAAUUUCGUCGGAUCCCAAUGAAACUAAAUUUCAAAAAAAUUAAAUUUAUAACAGCAGUCAUUAAGAUGAGAUUGAAUGACCAUCAUUUUGAUGAAUUAUUAGAGCAAAAACAUAUUAAAACUUUUGGUAAUUGGUAAUUUGUUUGAUGAUAUACAAGAUUUGAUGUAUGAACAAGAACACAUCAGAGCUCUUAAAUUUUCUAAAGCCAUUAAUACUCUGUAUCGAUUGGCAUGCAAUUUUUUAAUAUUUUGAAUAUUUAUCAAUAGUUGGAUUUUUUUAAUUCUGAUCAACCAGUAAAAGAACUCAGUCAGUAAUAAAACUCAGCCAAGAAUAAAGUCAGUAAGUUAAUAAUAUUGAUAAGUCAUAUUAAAGACUUGAUUAAUUAUGAAAAUUCGUUCCAGCUAGCAUCGCUUUAUUCGAUUAUUUAUGAACAAGGUCACUGAUAUUUUUUUUAAUAAAAUCGUAAGUCAUUGUAGUUUUAGUAUUCCUGACUACUUGUUAUAAGAACACUUCAUACUUAUUAAUUUUUUUAAUUUUUUAAUGAAUGGUCCAACAAAUCGACUCGCCGAUUUUUUUUAUUAUCGAGCUCUUAUUUUGGUUACAAAAAAAAAUACGUGGAAUUCAUAAAACAUACUGAGUUAUGAUAUUAGAGUACGAUAUUAAUUGUCUAAUUUUGACCAUAAUAUCAGUUCCGUACACAUUAUUAUUGAUAUUUAACUAAUAAUUAUGUUUUGUUCUAUUUUAUAUUCAUUGUAUGACAGAGCAAAUACAUUUUUUCAAAAUUAUAAAAAAUCAAGGUGUAGAUAUUUAUUGUGAAUUUGCUAUAGGGUCAGCGGCUAUUGUUUAUUUAAAAAGAAGAAAAUGAUUUAUAAUUUUAUAAUCAUUUGUAUUAAUCAUAAAUCUAUAGAGUACUCGUAUUAUUUAAAUAUAAAAAUUAAGAGAUAUUUUUAUUUAAAAUUCAAUCGUAAUACUACUGAUUUAUUCAUAUACUUUAAUUAUAUUUAUUUAUUAUUCGUUGAUAUCAGUUGAUUAUAAUUUUUAAUUUUAAAAAAUUAUCGCUAAUGAGCCAUCACGCGGAAAAUGUUUCAAAAAACUGACCCAUGAACUGUCAGAAAUUAUCUAAAUUUUAAUAAAUAUAGAUUGAUAUUAAAAAAAUUUAUUUA